ensembl:snoRNA
GGUUUACAUGUGCGUGUGACCGGCUAUGUCAGCUGACUGCACAGACAAAGGGGACAGAGUAAAUCUACCAUGUAUUUCUCAGCCUAGGCCACUGUGCAUAGCCUGUAUCAUGAAUUUCUGGAAAGACAAAG